CGUGGCCACUGCGGGUGCUCGACUACCUUGGCUAUCAAUCUCUUACACAUAAAGUUCUAAAUGAACUGCAUUAAAUCUCAAUUGAGGAUUUGUAUGCAUUAGGUUGAACUGCUAGGUACCGGGCUGAGAUACAAACCGUUAGAACUCGACCAAGUUAAUACUUGCGUGAGGAAUGUGUUGCCGCUACCAU
rnacentral:ncRNA from 1 species